UUUAUAAACCUUGCACAAAACGCACACACAAAGUAUUUUGAUUGUCAAGUGUCGUGAAAAGAAAAGGUGUUAUCUUUAUCCACUGAAUAAAGGUAAGAUGGAUGUAUUUAUUUUCAAAGUCAUGCAUGUGUUUAAAAAAAAGCCAGCCGCUCCAGGCGGUUUGUGCAUGCUGUUUCUCACUGAGAACAAGUUGUAACAGUUAUUUAAUAUCUGGAACAAGGGUUCACAAUUCCAUUUCAGAACUAUCGAUCCUCAGAGAUGUCUCAUAUUUAUUUACUGCAUGCAGUGAAAAGUUCGCAUCUUCGAGUUUCUAUCCCGGCAUUGCAAUUGAGCUAUUGAAUAAGCGGGGAUUGGAAGCGAGACUUAUCCUAUUAAAGUGCGCACGAAAUAUUUUCAUGACGAUUUUUCAAUUCUAUUUUCGAACCGUGUUCAAAUUUCUUACUAUAUCGGGCACGCGUUAUCCGCAAAUUUUUCUCAUCGCGCAUCUUGCGAAUUCUCGGAAUCCCAAAUCCCACCAUUUUUCUUCCUGUCCUCCCAUUUCGUGUUAGCAAAAUACACUUGCAUGAUCCUAUUGUGAAUUAUCUUCUCAGUGCAACUUAAAAAUUUCUGAUUUCUAGCUUAUAUUCAAAAAUGAAAUCAUUCUACCUGUCAUGCUUUAUGCUGGUCCUACUGUUGUCUGUUUGCACUUCGUCACCUCUCGUGAAUUUGGACGAAGAUGAUUACGACAGCGAAUUGGACAAAGAGGUAACAGCUGUAAUAACCUACACGAAAUAUGCCCAGUUUAUACGCACUGUUCCAUUUUAUGUAUGAGAACUGCAUAUAUAUACAGGGGCGGCGGAACAGAUUUCAUUUUUGGGGGGCUAAAUUUUUUUUCCGUGACCUCCCCCUUCCCCCCCCCGUCGCCAAAACAUUUCGGUCAGUGUACCAUUUUAGGGGUACAAAAUUUUUUCUGGACAUAUACAAGAAAAGGGAUGAAAGAUUUUUUUCCGGACUUAUAACAAAAAAAUUUUCCGGACAUACACAAUUGUUAAACAAAAUAUUGCAAAUUUUUCCCCUUAUACCUAAGUUUUCAAAAAAUACCCUACAUUUUUCCUUAAUUAUCAACAUUUUUCCAGAAAAAACAAAAUUUUCUGGGGGGCUAAGUCCCCCCACUUUUACUUCUGGGGGGCCUUAGCCCCCCUAGCCCCCCUAGCCCCCCUGUUCCGCCGCCCCUGUAUAUAUAUAUAUAUAUAUAUAUAUAUAUAUAUAUAUAGAAGAAAUAACCAUGCAUAUAUGGUGACAAGUUCUGACAACUUUAAUUAUCAUUUCAUCCGUUUGGCAAACCCUUGCAGAACAUAUUUUGGCAGUUGGAGAGCUCUUGGGCAAUAAAUAGUUAAUAAUUAAUGCAGUGCUUAACUCAGUGACCGUCGUCUACCGUGGUAAGCCACUCAGUGGAUCAGAUGGCAUCAUUUAUUCAUACUAUACCCAACACUGUAUUUUCAAAAUGGCGUUAGAACAGGUUAAGCUGGAAUUCACCAAGCGAAUUUCACCUCGCGCAUGCAAAAAGGAGCGAAAAACAAAAUUUCUACAAUGAGAUUCCAAUCACAUCCACUGGAUUUCCAUGCUAUUUUCAACCAAGAUCAAUACUAUUUUCAUGGUAAAAAUUUGGGGGGAAAUUCCAAUGAUUGCUGCCUCGUGCGAAGUAUGAAUAUAGAUAUGUACAUACGGGCAUCCUUUUCAUUAAAUCGUUUUGGAUCACACACGUUGAGGCACUAAUAGUUGGGGUUUUUUUUGUCGUGCACCAUCCAAAAACUAAAUAUUCCUGUGUAAUUGCGCGGUGACCAUAUUUCAUACAAAAAAUUUUCUCCUCAACAUAGUUUGUAAUUUUUUUCUCGUUUUUCACGCCAUGAAAUCACGUGAGCAUUUUCUUCAGAACAAUUAUCAAAUGAGAUGAAAACGAAAGGUGACCGUCAAAAAAUCCGUUGUUCCCGGUAAAUUUCCUAAUCCGACUGAUUUUAUCCAUUUUUUUCUAGUACAAUGUGUGGAGAAACAAAAGAGGCUGGACGGCGUGUAAUUUCCCGGGAGAAAAAUGCAACACACUCUUCUAUAGUAUACCCAUCAGUGGCUGCUGUCCUGGAGCAACAUGGUACGUGUGCUAUAAUGUUAAAAUCAAUGUUUUGUUGCCGAUCUCACUCGAUUGAAUAGUUGGAGGGUUUUGGAGCGGUUCGGCAACUGGCCUCAGUAGCUCAGUUGGUUAGAACUCUGCUCCGGAAUCGCAGGCAGGGACGUCGCUAUAGGGUGUGUGUGUGUGUGUGUGUGGGGUGUAACACCCCCCCCCCCAUAAUUCAAACGUUGGUCAAAGUUGGUCAAAAUGGAACUGAUAUUUGCUUAAAAUUGAAGAUAAAACUGGGAAAAAUUUUGUAAACGCUUGGGAUAAAAGAUGGUCGAAGUUGCCCAAAGUUAUGAAAUGCUUCGCAAUUUUAACAAUUUUAAAGCUUUUGUCACGUUUGCGAUGAAAAAAUUGGAAGUUUUGCUCAUCUCGGUCGAAACAUUUUGAAUUUGCUUAUGUUUGUCCAGAAAAAUUUUUUUUGACUAUGUCAGUAUGUUAGUCCGGAAAAAUUUUUACGACUUGGUCAAAAUUUUAGGAAAUGUUGGUCAAAACAUGACGACCCCCCCCCCCUCCCAAUGUUGAUGGCUUUUCGACGUCCCUGAUCGCAGGGCCGCAGGUUCGAUUCCUGCUAGGGACCUGUAGUUGCAUUUUUCGCAGCUGUUCCUGGUUAGGUCUAAUAAAUGUAUUCUAAAUUUCCACUCGACUUAUUUCCGUCUGCAAAAACCAUCGUGCAAUGUUAAGCCCGUUUGCAACUUGGCAAAAUUGUUGACGCGAAGCGAAUUUUAAUUUUUUCCAGGUGAUCUCGUGUUAGUAUUUUAGCCAAUCAGCGCUCAGAAAGGGUUGUCCGAAUAGAAAUUCAUUUUGAUGUAUUCAGUCAAUUAUAUCUUUCGUUAUUCUUUAUGAGACUAGUUGAAAUUUUGUAAUUAUGUUUGGUUAUGAGAACUAUAGCUUUGACAAAAAUAUAGAAUCGAAAUAAAGUAUAUUACGGGAGAUAUUCAGUUGUUUUAAUCACAAAAUGGAUUUCUAUUUGACAACUAGUGCCAGUACUUUUCCGCGCAUCAAGAUCAUCUGGUUUGUGGGCAUCGUUUAUCAUGCAUGUCAACAAAAGCGAUGUCGACAAAAGAAAAACAUUUGUUUUGGUGUAAAUAGGUAAUGGGACAAGUACUGGUGUGAGACAUUGUGUAACCUAAAUAAUUGGAGGAUCAGUAUUCAAAUGUAUUGUUAUUUACUCCAACUUCAAAAACUCAUUAAUAAUUCAUGAAGCAAUUAUCCAAUCUUGAGUAAGAAAUUAGUCAUGUGCAUACGUCUUUAUACCAGCUAAAGACACUUUAACAAAAGACCAUUGUUAUGCAAACUAUAUAAAGGUUUUUAUAUAAAGAUUUUUAUAUAAAGAUUUUUAUAUAAAGAUUUUUAUAUAAAGAUUUGACUUAUUAUGCAUACGUUUUUGAAGUCAUUUAAAAAACUCGCGGGUCGUGUUUUAUUAGGUCUAAAGCCACUCGCGCUGCGCGCUCGUGGCUUUAAACCUAAUAAAACACUCCCGCUCGUUUUUUAAAUAGUAUUUCAAUAGUAUAGACUGCAUAUGUGUCAUAAUCAAGGAAUCACCAUGUUUAAUCAUUCCUAAUAUUGUUAGCCGCCAGCAAAUUUGGGUCGGCAUCAGCAUAGUCAUAUCAAGAUAUGAUGGUCUGAAAACUAAACAGAUGUUUCGUAAUCGUCUAAUAGGGAUAGCUGUGAUGAAACGUACAACCAGUGAAUGAAUUGUACACGGUUUCAACCUAUCACAAGCAAAUUAAUAAAGGUCUUCCAUUUUGUAGCUUUGAAGUUUGCUGGGCUAGUUCCAGAACAUCAUAUCUUGAUACACUAUAUGAUUUGGGAAAUGAGUCUAUUAAAUAAUAAUUUUAAUUAUUAUUAUAUUUAUUUUAUUUAGCGGAUGGGGCGGUAAAUGCAUAGUUCAACCAGGAAAGAAGUAGGAGAUUUCGUUAAGAAGACUACAUAAAAUAUAUUAAUUGUAUAGAGAAUAUAUCUUGACUGACGAAAAUUAUGCUUAUUGAAUAUUCAUUAAAGCAACAAUAAAUUAAUCUCGCCA